CCUACGGGAGGCUGCAGUGAGGAAUAUUGGUCAAUGGGCGGGAGCCUGAACCAGCCAAGUCGCGUGAGGGAAGACGGUCCUAUGGAUUGUAAACCUCUUUAGGCGGGGAGCAAUGCCGGGCACGCGUGCCCGGAGGGAGAGUACCCGCAGAAUAAGCAUCGGCUAACUCCGUGCCAGCAGCCGCGGUAAUACGGAGGAUGCGAGCGUUAUCCGGAUUUAGUGGGUUUAAAGGGUGCGUAGGCGGAUUUUUAAGUCAGCGGUAAAAUGUCCGGGCUCAACCCGGGCCGGCCAUUGAAACUGGGGAUCUUGAGUGGGCGAGAAGUAUGCGGAAUGCGUGGUGUAGCGGUGAAAUGCAUAGAUAUCACGCAGAACUCCGAUUGCGAAGGCAGCAUACCGGCGCCCGACUGACGCUGAGGCACGAAAGCGUGGGGAUCGAACAGGAUUAGAUACCCUUGUAGUC
rnacentral:rRNA from 1 species